rnacentral:lncRNA from 1 species
AUCCUUCACUUGGCCUAUUCUGAGACUCGCCUCCCUGAGCCCAGGCUUAGGAGAAAGACCAAAGGAGAUGGAAACCCAGUCACACUGGUCAUUUGGUAGCAUUCGCACACAGUUGCCUGGAUUGUUGUUGUUCGUUUGUUUGUUUUGAGGAAGGAGUUUACUGACUCACAUCACGUUGGGUGGAGACAAAGGAGAAAAAUCAUGACGGACCCUCAAGAACCAUCCGAGAUUGUCAGAGAAAUACAGAAAAGGCGGAGUCAUGGUUUGAGUGUCAACUUUUCCCCAUCGGCUCAGACUUGGGGAGGGAGGCAAUCCAUCCUCCAGGUUGCC